CAGUGUUUUUGAUCCGAGAGCGAGUUCAUCAUGUGAGUGCAGAGCGUGUCACGCAGAGCCGGAAGGAGGACGGGACCUGAGCUCUCUGCAAAGACGUUUGUUGUCGAGCAAAGAGGAAAAUGUAAAUUUGUAAAAUAAAAGUGUGGAAAUAGGAAACGGGGGAGGGUGGUGUGAGAACAGGGAAACCCAGGGUGUGUAGCCUGAGUUGUCAGUCACGGUGAAACCAUUUCCUCUUCAAGGCUGUCUGGCUCCUCCCUCCCAUUGUGUGGCAAAACAGUGUCGGUGAACUUUAUCCCCCUCGGUGGAGAGAGAGAUCAUUCAAAUGAGCACGGAGCAAGGUCAAGUUACACUUCUGUUUGCCUGCUGAACAAUGUGGGUCCCAUCACCUAACAUCAAGGAGGAGCCUUCACAUCGAGCCGUUCUCUGAGAGACGUCUUUGAAAUGAGGGAGGUGAGGUGUUGUCUGCCCACAUGUCCAGACGUCGUGGUUAAAGGGACUUUAUCACACAGAUGGGGGACAGCGCUCAUAUCUUGCUUGCCCAUCUUUCACCGCGGCGGGAGGCUGAACGUGACUACCAAUGCUCCCCAGCUGCCGGGGGGUGGAGAAGGCACAAAAACCACAGGCGCAUAAUAAAUGCCACACCGUCUUGACAACUUGCACUUUUAUAGAAAGGGGAGGUAGGACAUAUCUGGCACAGAUGCUCGCAGUGCAUGAUGAAGCGUCCUCCAUAAACCAGACAAUCAAAGAGAGGGCAGCGAAGCAUCUGUGGAAUCUGUGUCGGGAACCUCAGCGGAUUUAUGACCACGACCAAAACAGGGCAGUUUCAAAGUAAAAGUUUUGGAGCUUGAUUGAGGGAAAUCUGCAGAAAAUAUCACUUUCCAAAUGUAACCACAACAUCUGUAAAUGAUGCAUUGCAGUUACUUUUUUCGCUAUGAUCUACCAUUCUUUCCUGUUCUGAAUAAGCCACAUGCAAUCUAUGAACCGUUUCCCCCCAAAAGUAGGUUUUCUAAUUAGGUCACUGUUUGCUUUUCUAGGUUUUCCUUCAUCUCACAGUCAUGUUAUUUUCUAUACAUCACAGAAAUGACUCUUUAUAUCCUCGUGCUUUCAAGGCAAACGUUAGGAGCAGCUUUGAUCUUCAUCCAGCAGCAACCCUGAAAUAUCUUCUAAAUGAAGGAGUUAUAAAUAUG